GUACCUUUUGCAUCAUGAUUUAGCUAGAAAACCUCAAGCAAAGAGCACUUUAGUUUGAUUCCCCGAAACUACGUGAGCUACUCCAAGACAGCCUAACAAUAGGGCAAACCCGUCUCUGUGGCAAAAGAGUGGGAAGAGCUUUGAGUAGAGGUGACAGACCUACCGAACCUAGUUAUAGCUGGUUGCCUGAGAAAUGAAUAGAAGUUCAGCCUCUCGGAUUCUUCCCUCACCCUUGUCUUCCUCCCCCCUGACAGCCAAAAGAAGCCGAAAGAGUUAGUCAAAGGGGGUACAGCCCCUUUGACACAAGAUACAACUUUUCCAGGAGGGUAAAGAUCACAUUCAAAUAUUAAGGUAAAAUGUUUUGGUGGGCCUAAAAGCAGCCACCCCCAUAGAAUGCGUUAAAGCUCAGACAUACCUAUCACCCCCGAUCCUGACAAUUUCAUCUUAACCCCCUAACCCUACCAGGCCGUCCCAUGCAAGCAUGGGAGCGACCAUGCUAAUAUGAGUAAUAAGAGAGCAUUAGCCUCUCUCCUUGCACAAG
rnacentral:rRNA from 1 species